rnacentral:rRNA from 1 species
AUGCAGGAGCAUGCAAACUUAGUCCAUGAAAAAGAUCAGUUGGAGCAACAAUUGCUGGAAGUUAGGAAAGAACUGGAGGCUGCUUACCGUACCAUAGCUAACCAGGAAGAGCAAGCUUCAGUGAGGGAGAUAAAGUGGGAUGCGUUUAAGACGUAUUCAGCGGAUCAACUAGAAGCUGCACAAAAACACGCUGCAGAGCUGGAAGUACAAGUAUCAGCUCUAAAUCAGCAGCUGCAAGAAGCUGAGAUCCAUUACGAGAAAAAGGUUGCAAAGGAGAGUGAGAAACUCGCUCUUGUCAAUACACAGCUCAACAAGCUAACCCAAGAUGUGAGCAAGAGCGCUGAAAUGGAGAAGAAGGUACAGGACCUUGAGCAGAAGUUGCAGCUUGCUCAUUCCAAAUCUGAAGUACAGGCAAAGGAUGCAGUGGUGUCAACGAGAUCCCGAGAAUUCAGCCUGGACUCGUUAGCACCGCAAAACAAACAGCACGACAUAUCUCAGGCUCCUAGCACGGCCUCCCCGAACCCGGCGCAGCAACAACUGCGGGAGCCCUCCGGCAUCAUGGCCGUCAAGUUCAUCCUGGGCGUCGCCCUGCUGUCAGUGGUCAUCGGCGUGUUCCUCGGAAGGAGAUACUAG